UUGAGGUCCCCGGUCCCCCCACCACACACAUACACACGGAGAUGGGGAAAUAAAACGAACAAAAAGAAAACAUUCUUUUCUCUGACGAAGAGUAAAGCGCAAGGAAUAUCAGACCGAAUUCAGAAAUGACAACGCAAUC
rfam:Tupaia chinensis contig35260, whole genome shotgun sequence.